GAUGAACGCAAGCCCCUCCCCCUCCUGCGUGCGACACGUGGUUGCACACCUGCGCAGAGUGCGUGGUGGUUUUCCUCGCUGUGCGAGGAAGGAGCAGCUUCUUGGCCUCUGUGACUAACUUAUUAAUAAGAGUGAACACCAAAGGGGAAGGAGCCAGCAACCUGGAGAGAUGAAGAGGUGCAUGUCCUCCAGAGAGUCAGGCAAUGCAGCAUCAUCCAGCCGUGAAGCCAUUUGGCGGAGAGGAGGAGGAGGAGGAGGAGGAGGAGGAGUGGGCCAGCUGAAG